rnacentral:rRNA from 1 species
UACGUAGGGUGCGAGCGUUGUUCGGAGUUACUGGGCGUAAAGGGUGUGUAGGCGGUUUUCUGAGUUUGGCGUGAAAUCUCCCGGCUCAACUGGGAGGGUGCGCCGAAAACUGGCGGACUAGAGUGCGGGAGGGGAGAGUAGAAUUCCUGGUGUAGCGGUGAAAUGCGUAGAUAUCAGGAGGAAUACCGGUGGUGUAGACGGCUCUCUGGACAGCAACUGACGCUGAGACACGAAAGCGUGGGUAGCAAACAGG